GACGAACGCUGGCGGCGUGCCUAAUACAUGCAAGUCGAACGCUUCUUUCCUCCCGAGUGCUUGCACUCAAUUGGAAAGAGGAGUGGCGGACGGGUGAGUAACACGUGGGUAACCUACCCAUCAGAGGGGGAUAACACUUGGAAACAGGUGCUAAUACCGCAUAACAGUUUAUGCCGCAUGGCAUAGGAGUGAAAGGCGCUUUCGGGUGUCGCUGAUGGAAGGACCCGCGGUGCAUUAGCUAGUUGGUGAGGUAACGGCUCACCAAGGCCACGAUGCAUAGCCGACCUGAGAGGGUGAUCGGCCACACUGGGACUGAGACACGGCCCAGACUCCUACGGGAGGCAGCAGUAGGGAAUCUUCGGCAAUGGACGAAAGUCUGACCGAGCAACGCCGCGUGAGUGAAGAAGGUUUUCGGAUCGUAAAACUCUGUUGUUAGAGAAGAACAAGGACGUUAGUAACUGAACGUCCCCUGACGGUAUCUAACCAGAAAGCCACGGCUAACUACGUG
rnacentral:rRNA from 1 species